GCCCCAGUAGCUCAGUGGAUAGAGCAGCGGUUUCCUAAACCGUUGGUCGGAUGUUCGACUCAUCUCUGGGGCGCCA
rnacentral:tRNA from 1 species